CGAAUCAAGCAUUCUGUUGCAGACUUGUGCUAAUUUUGUUUAUUUGUUUAUUACAAGGUGCUCUAAACCUCCUGGGGUAUUCCACAGCUUUAAUGACUAUGUGUAACACCACCUAGCUAACACUGCUUUUCCAUUCAGUCAACUCAGUCUCACAGCAGUCCUCACAACUACGUGGUCUCGGUUAUACUGAAAAGAAGAAAAUCUCUCCAGUUUCAGAAACACUGGCCUUUUGGAUACUGAGGAGUUGGAAAUGGAAAGGGGAUUUUAAUGAGUUUCUCAGCAAUAAGGCUAGAGAAAAUAUUAUCCAUCUCCCCCUGUUCCCCAAUUCAGCAGCUCCCUGACUCCUGUUUUCAUCACAGUCCUGUUAGAUAAUUACAGCCCCGAAGCCUCCUGUUCCUUCUUUCUGUGCUCCCUGAAUCUUCUUUCCCAGAGCCAGGACCUCUUGGAAAUUCUCAGCCUCUGUUAGUUGCCUGCUCUGGGAGCCUGACUCCUCCCAUCCGUCAUCUCUUUCUUCUCCCCCUUCACCUGCUGUAGUGUCCCCGCUGUCUGUCUUUACCUCAGCUCCUUACCUUUCCUUUCCCUCUACACCCUUUUCCUUUGGUUCAUAGUCAGGAUGUGCUAGUUGCAUUCAGGCCCUUUUUGACACUAAGAAUUCAGGGGGACAAAGCCAAACCCUGGAGACUACUGUCUUCCCCUUAGUGACGCUAAUGAAUAUAAUUCCUGAUCUGAAAUUACCUGCACUUUAUUCGGCUCCACCUACUUUUCUGCCACUUACUCCCUGUAUAACCAUAGGCUAUGGACCCUACCUCUCUCCAGGUUUGUUUACUCCUCAGUUAAAAGGAGGAUUAAAACGGCAAUCACAACAGCUUGCUACAGAUAUGUUAGGAAGAUUAAAUGGGAUAAAAUGCAGGGUGCCCAACCUUCCUGGCAUAUAGUAAAUGCCUAUAAAAUAUAACAAGUGUCAUGUAUUAUUAUUAAAUUGUAUCUACAUCGUAGAAA